rnacentral:rRNA from 1 species
UACGAACCGUCCAAACGUUAUUCGGAAUUACUGGGCUUAAAGGGUGCGUAGGCGGCCAUGUAAGUGAGGUGUGAAAUCCCUCGGCUCAACCGAGGAACUGCGCUUCAUACUGCAUGGCUUGAGGGAGACAGGGGUAAGCGGAACUGAUGGUGGAGCGGUGAAAUGCGUUGAUAUCAUCAGGAACACCGGUGGCGAAAGCGGCUUACUGGGUCUCUUCUGACGCUGAGGUACGAAAGCUAGGGUAGCGAACGGG